UACGUAGGGCGCAAGCGUUAUCCGGAAUUAUUGGGCGUAAAGAGCUCGUAGGCGGUUUGUCGCGUCUGCUGUGAAAAGACCGGGGCUCAACUCCGGUUCUGCAGUGGGUACGGGCAGACUAGAGUGCAGUAGGGGAGACUGGAAUUCCUGGUGUAGCGGUGAAAAUGCGCAGAUAUCAGGAGGAACACCGGUGGCGAAGGCGGGUCUCUGGAACGGUACUGACGCUGAGGUGCGAAAGCGUGGGGAGCAAACAGG
rnacentral:rRNA from 1 species